rnacentral:rRNA from 1 species
UACGUAGGGUGCGAGCGUUGUCCGGAAUUAUUGGGCGUAAAGGGCUCGUCGGCGGUUUGUCGCGUCGGGAGUGAAAUCAUCUGGCUUAACUGGGUGCUUGCUUUCGAUACGGGCAGACUAGAGGUAUGCAGGGGAGAACGGAAUUCCUGGUGUAGCGGUGAAAUGCGCAGAUAUCAGGAGGAACACCGGUGGCGAAGGCGGUUCUCUGGGCAUGAUCUGACGCUGAGGAGCGAAAGUGUGGGGAGCGAACAGG